GUUUUGAGGUUUCUGCAUUGUUAAAAUGUUAAAAUGUAUUUUCUUGUAGUUUCUCAUCACCCUCUUCGAUGGAGGAAGUACAUCUUAAUUGGUACACAUGGGCCCCACAGAUAACUCUUUUACAUGGUUUCAGUAGAACUACCCCGCAGCCCUCCCCUCGACCGUAGCCGUCUGCCGUGCUGGAGAAAGGUCUGCUCGUCCCUUCAGGCGAGAUGAAGAGCCACGAGGGACGAGGAGCAGGCGCUGUCUAUGGCCAGUGACGGCCCAGUGAAGUUGAAGAUGUAUGAGACUCUGUUUGCUGCGAUGCUCAUGGCGAGGCCAGUGCCAGUCCAGUGGUUGAUCA